rnacentral:rRNA from 1 species
GACGAACGCUGGCGGCGUGCUUAACACAUGCAAGUCGAACGGAAAGGCCCUGCUUUUGUGGGGUGCUCGAGUGGCGAACGGGUGAGUAACACGUGAGUAACCUGCCCUUGACUUUGGGAGAACUUCAGGAAACUGGGGCUCAUACCGCAUAGGAGCUCCUGCUGCAUGGUGGGGGUUGGAAAGUUUCGGCGGUUGGGGAUGUACUCGCGGCUUAUCAGCUUGUUGGUGGGGUAGUGGCUUACCAAGGCUUUGACGGGUAGCCGGCCUGAGAGGGUGACCGGCAACAUUGGGACUAAGAUACGGCCCAGACUCCUACGGGAGGCAGCAGUGGGGAAUAUUGCACAAUGGGCGGAAGCCUGAUGCAGCAACGCCGCGUGCGGGAUGACGGCCUUCGGGUUGUAAACCGCUUUCGCAUGUGACGAAGCGUGAGUGACGGUAAUGGGUAAAGAAGCACCGGCUAACUACGUG